rnacentral:misc_RNA from 2 species
CACCACUCCAGCCUGGCUGGGUGUUGGGCUCCGCGGUUCGCCGCGCGCCUCAAUGUCUCUCGGCCGCGCCGACCGUCUCCUAGCGUUGUGGUACACAUUCCGCUCCGGAGGCCGGCCGUCGCGUCGCCGUCGACCCAAACCUUUCUUCA